rnacentral:rRNA from 1 species
GACGAACGCUGGCGGCGUGCUUAACACAUGCAAGUCGAACGGAAAGGCCCUGCUUUUGUGGGGUGCUCGAGUGGCGAACGGGUGAGUAACACGUGAGUAACCUGCCCUUGACUUUGGGAUAACUUCAGGAAACUGGGGCUAAUACCGGAUAGGAGCUCCUGCUGCAUGGUGGGGGUUGGAAAGUUUCGGCGGUUGGGGAUGGACUCGCGGCUUAUCAGCUUGUUGGUGGGGUAGUGGCUUACCAAGGCUUUGACGGGUAGCCGGCCUGAGAGGGUGACCGGCGACAUUGGGACUGAGAUACGGCCCAGACUGCUACGGGAGGCAGCAGUGGGGAAUAUUGCACGAUGGGCGGAAGCCUGAUGCAGCAACGCCGCGUGCGGGAUGACGGCCUUCGGGUUGUAAACCGCUUUCGCCUGUGACGAAGCGUGAGUGACGGUAAUGGGUAAAGAAGCACCGGCUAACUACGUG